rnacentral:rRNA from 1 species
AUGGGGGUUAAUGAUGGCUUAUCAUCCCUUAGAAUCAGGCUUUCCAUUGCCGGCCAGUAUCUUCUUCCUUCCCACCUACAGUACGUAGUAGAAAGUAGAAACGAUGCUCCACUUUGGCCUCCUUUCCUCUUGUUUCCUAUUCCUCCUUUCCCCUUGCAUAUCCGCUGGUUGGUUGGUGUGCAUGUGAAGCAGCGGCGGGAUCAGGAUCGAACACUUCAGGACGCUGGGCCCUGUCCUAGUUUAUCCCAGAAGACGAAUGAAUCAGCGUUGGCAUGCACUUGCUUGCCUGUGCCUCGUGGUGUUUUCCAGGACAAGUGUGGAGUACGCGAUUCUACUUUGAUGCUGAUCAGGCUGGAAACCAGUUAA